AACGAACGCUGGCGGCAGGCUUAACACAUGCAAGUCGAACGCACCUUUCGGGGUGAGUGGCAGACGGGUGAGUAACGCGUGGGAAUCUACCCUUCUCUACGGGAUAGCUCCGGGAAACUGGAAUUAAUACCGUAUACGUCCUGAGGGAGAAAGAUUUAUCGGGGAAGGAUGAGCCCGCGUUGGAUUAGCUAGUUGGUGGGGUAAAGGCCUACCAAGGCGACGAUCCAUAGCUGGUCUAAGAGGAUGAUCAGCCACAUUGGGACUGAGACACGGCCCAAACUCCUACGGGAGGCAGCAGUAGUGAAUAUUGGACGAUGGGCGCAAGCCUGAUCCAGCCAUGCCGCGGGAGUGAUGAAGGCCCUAGGGUUGUAAAGCUCUUUCAGAGGGGACGAUAAUGACGGUACCCACAGAAGAAGCCCCGGCUAACUUCGUG
rnacentral:rRNA from 1 species